GGUCUGGGCGUAGCGCCCGCUCCAGCGCCGCAAGCAGCUCAUCUUUUUCUGGCUGGAAGGUGCGGAGCCCCGCGGAGACCGCAGCUAGGACCACGCAGUAGACGGCGUCCAGGAGCUGGCGGCGGGCAAGAGUGGAGGGCGGCCCAUCCGAGGGUCUGCAAAGCUGAGGUCCGAGCCCCACCUGUGCCUCGCAGACGGAUGCCACCCUGAAGAGCGAGGCUCCAGGCGCGCUGCGCUUCGGCGGACGGCGCGGAGAAGCAGAGGAGCCGGCGGAAGGGGUGCUGCAGCAGGAGCGGGGCGCACACUGGCGUCUCCAGUAGUUGCUCGGGGCCUGCGGGGACGGCCGAGCGGGCUCGACAUCCGCCGCACAUUCGAUCGCUAACCACCCCUGAGGGCCACUUAGGUCCUUAGCAGUGGACAGGACCUGGACCCCUGAGCCAGGGUUUCCCUGUCUGUGAAAGAAGCUGCACGGUAACGCUAGAGGGGCCGGGCGCUGAGGGCAAGCUUGCGGGUCAGCACUCGGGAGGCUGAGGCAGAAAAGUCACCCGGAGUUUGAGGCCAGCCGGAGCUAUAAAUCGAGACCCUAGCUCAAAACACCAAAAAUGCAAAUAAAACAGCCAAAGGGUGAUACUGAUGACUUAGGACUGUUAGGAAGACAAAAUAAAUGAGUUUUUAUUGCGGA